CACGUAGGGUGCGAGCGUUGUCCGGAAUUAUUGGGCGUAAAGAGCUCGUAGGCGGUUUGUCGCGUCUGCCGUGAAAGUCCGGGGCUCAACUCCGGAUCUGCGGUGGGUACGGGCAGACUAGAGUGAUGUAGGGGAGACUGGAAUUCCUGGUGUAGCGGUGAAAUGCGCAGAUAUCAGGAGGAACACCGAUGGCGAAGGCAGGUCUCUGGGCAGUUGCUGACACUGGAGGCGCGACAGCGUGGGGAGCAAACAGG
rnacentral:rRNA from 1 species